rnacentral:lncRNA from 1 species
UCAUCGGCAGCGACAGAUGGACCGGGAGAGGAAGCAUCGAGGCUAGGUCCAGGAGCUCCAGUUGGUGGAGCGGGAGGUCCAAGCAUAUCAGGUGAAGGAGUCGGAGCAUGGUGUUUCUUGGAUUUCUUGCUUUUGCUCUUGCUCUUGCUUGGAGCUGGGGCCGGAACCUCAGCAGUAGUUGGUGCAGCAACAGGAGCCGGAGGAGAGGCCGAGCUCUCUGGUGGAGUCGUCGGUGCAGCAACGGGAGGCGAUUUGGCUGGAGGAGAGCUCACAGGUACUGGAGCAGGUGGAGAACUCACCGGAGCAGCAGCCGGAGGAGAAGAAGCCGGAGCAGAUUUAGAUGGGGCUGGAACCGCCGCAGACUUCUCCGGAGCCGCAGCCGGUGGUGAAGAAGUUGGUGGGGAAGUGGUAGGGGCAGCAGUUGGAGCCGGUGAUUUAGGUUUGCUAACAGGGGCAGUAGCGGGAGCAGUAGCAGGAGUAGCCGCGGCCGGCGGAGCUUUAGUAGGUGAGGCUGCCGGAGAUUGACCACCGACAGCGGUUACCACAAAGCAAAUCAAAGCAACUGCAAAUGCACUUCUACGAUCCAUUUCUUGAAGACAGAGGGAGAGUGAAGUAGUAACAGAAACUAAUGACAACGAGACGACAGACUCUCAAUAAAUAUAUAAAUAAAUGAGGGAGAGAAUCAGAAAAAAUGAUGAUUAUAAAAAGAAAAGAAGAAAAAGUUAGGAACGUGUUUGGAUCAGAAAUAGCCGUUGGAUGAGAAGCUAUUUCGGGGCCCACCGUCAUCAAAUUGUAAUGUGGCGAUCAAGACUCGACAGUCUGGAUUGGGGCCCACAUACAUGAACCAUGUAAUUUGUUGUUACAUUACCUGAUUAGGGUAAACUACACCCAAGGUCACUGAAGUAUUAAUAAAUUUACAUUUCAGUCGUUUAACUUUAAAAAGUUACAAAAUAGUCACUAAAUCAUUCGGAAGUUUUUAUUUAAUUCAUUGAGAUAUUAAAUCUCUGUUAUAUGGCUUUCUUUAUUCACACGGCCUACACCAAUCAAAAGAUCUUAUUCUCCUUCUCUUCAACAAUUUAAUUAUUUUCAUAGAAUAAUUUUGAAUGUUAUGAAUUUACGAAUCAAAAUUCAAACAGUUUUCUUUUUCAAUCUCUUACAAGGUAUGUUCUUCUACUCUUUGAUAGGUACUAAUCCAUUGUAUCAAUCGUCAUAAAAAAAUACUUAACAAUUCAAUGACUUAAAUAAAUACUUUCAAAUAAUUUAGUGACCAUGUUGUAACUUUUUAAAGUUAAGUGACCAAAAUAUGAAUUUACUAAUAAUUUAGUGACCUUAGGUGUAGUUUACCCUACUAAUUAAUAUUAUAAUAAAUGUUUAAUUCUAUCCCCAACCUCUGUACUCUUUGGGGUUUUAAAAUUUAGCCUUCCUACUUUUGAUUUUAAAAAUUUAGUUUCUCUUCAUUUUUAUUUAAAAGUCCAAUUCAUGAAAACUUGGUUAAAUUUUAAUAUUCGAAGCUUUGAUCUAAAAAUAAUAAUAUAUAUUUAAAUUGAAUGGAAAUGUUAUUAAUUAAAUUUUAAUUUUUAAAUCAAGCAGGAGAGAUAGGGAAUUAAAAUUUAAAAUUAAAAUUUAAAAGCUGAAAGAGUAAAGGGGUUGGAAAAAAUUAAACCUACAAUAACUAAUUGAAUGAUACAAUUGUUAUGAAGUAGUGAGACAGCUGGACGUAGGGAGAGUGGGGUAUUGCUGCGCAAAGAGACAAACCAAUAGGAGGCGGCCGCGUGACCGGGUAAAGCAGUUACGGGUGAUAUUUUGAGAUGGGUCACCGACUCACCGGCAAGAAACUGUGUCUCUGCAAGCAAAACUUGUCUGGAAUAACGUGACGUGUAUUAUACUUAAACACCCUAACCUUUUCUCUUUUCGUUAAAAAUUGUCAAGUGGCUAAGGCUUUUUUUUUUAUCAUCUAUAUAUUAGAGUUUUAAAAAAAGUUUUGCAAAAUAGUUGAGUUGUGUAAUUAUUUCACCUCCACCCUUUGGCCUCUCUCGGUACAUUAUUAUGUAAAAGUGAGUAUUCCACUGAAUCGAUUAAAAAAUUUUGAGUUAAUUGAGUUAACGAGUUUUAUUUUAUCAUUCUAACUCGAUUUAAUUUUUUUUCAAAUUGAAUUGAGUAAAAUAAAAUUCGAGUCGAUUCGAAUGAAAUUGUUUGAGUUAAAUUAAAAAAUUAAACAUGUUAAAUUAAAAUCUUGUUAUACUAUAUAGAGGUGCUCAUGGGCCGGGCGGCCCGGCCCGGCCCGACGGCCCGCCCGAAAUAUGGGAGGGUUUGGGUAAAAAUAUAGGCCCGAAAUAUGGGCUUGGGCAAAAAAAUGAUGCCCGAUUUAAAAACGGGCCGGGCCUCGGGCACAACUUUUUUGGCCCGGGCCCGGCCCGGCCCGGCCCGAAUAUAAUAAAUAUUUUUAUUAUUUUUAAUUUUAAAAUACUUUUAAAAUACUUUUAUUAAAUUUUUUAAAUUUUUAAAUUUUUUUAAAAUACUUUUUAAAUUUUUUUUAAUUUUAAAAUAUUUUUAAAAUACUUUUUUUAAUUUUUAUUUUAAUUUUUAAAAUAAUUUUUUGGUAAUUAUUUAAAAAACGGGCCGGGCCGGGCCCAGGCUUAUGAUUUUUUUCCCAGGCUGGGCCUGGGCAAAAUUCUAGGCCCAUAUUUUGGGUCGGGCCAAAAAAAAUUUUUGGGCCCGGCCCGGCCCAGCCCAUGAGCACCUCUAAUACUAUAACUAAUUCCAUGUUAUAACACAUAAAUUUGAAACCAUAUAUAUUUGAAAACUUUUUCAAAGCAGAAUAAAAAAAUUACUUUAGUAUGAUAAACUUGAAUCAUUAAUUAACUUAUUUAGGUCCCAAAAUUAUUAUUCUAGAAAAUUUUUAAUAUUUUAACUUUCUUUAUAUUUUUUUAGAUUUUUUUUUGAAAUUUUUAUAAUUUUUAAAAAGUAUAAAUUUGGAAUUUUUAUAAAUAUUUUGAAAUUUUAAAAUUAUUUUGUAAUUUUUAUUGAGAGAGUGGUCAAUUUGUUCAUUUUCAAACUUGGCAGAGACCAAAAAGGUAUUUAUACCAAUAUGUUAUUCGAAUUAUUCGAGUUAUUUUAAUUGUAAAAUUCAACUCGAUUCGAACUCGAAACUCGAAUUACUUACUCGAGUUGACUUGAAUAAUUCAAAUAACUCGAUUCAAUUAACUCAAAAUUUAAUUUUUUUCGGAUUAAAUUGAAUUUUGCUCACUCCUAUUAUUUUGCACAGCAUCACAAUAUAGAUUUUUCGGUUUUAAAAUAUCGCCGAUCUAUAUUCUUCUUCAAUGCUAUAAAGCUCGACCCUUCCACAAUCAUUAUCUAUACAUCAUCAUCAUACAUUGUAUGAAUCGUAGAAUAUAUUACUGGAUUGUCAUAUAUAAUAAAUUUAUAUCUAUUCAUCAUCAUCAUACAUUAUACAAAAAUAUAUAAUAUGUCAAUUUACUACAUUCAUGAUAUGGAUUGAAAGAUAAAAAUUACACAAAUAAAAAUUACAUUUACUAAAAAUAAUGAUAUUUUCAAUAAUUAUUUGAUUUUAUAAAUAAAAGAGUUAUUAAUUAAAAUGAUAAAUAAAAAAUAAAAAAAACUUGAAAACAAUAUAUUUAUUAAUUAUAAAUAUUAAUUAAAAAUAAUAAAAAAGUUGAAAUAAAAAAUACAUAUUAAAAUUCUUAUAAAAGGAAUCAAACUUAGGACUGAAAGAAGAAAUCACAAUUAUCUAACCAUCUAACCAAAAGAGCUAAUGUGUCAAAAAUAUUAAUUUAAAAAAAAACUUAAAAUAACAUGAAAUAAAAAUUACAAAAGUGAAUAGGAGAGGAAUUGAACCUAAGACUUAAGACUAAAAACACUAACACUUAACCAUCUGAUCAAAAGAGCUAAGUUGUCAAUUUGUGAAAACAUGACACAUGUUCAGCUGACGUAGCUAAAAAUAUGCCCUAUAAGACGCAUUUUCAAUGACAUAGACAGUGAAAAUGCACCAUGUAAGACGUGCUUUCCUUUCUCUCUUCAAAACAACAUUGAUAAAUUUAAAAAAAACAACAUAGAUAAUUAAAUGUAGAUUUUUUUUUUCAGCAUAAAUGGAUAAAUCAACCUGGUAUAUAUUAAAUUAAUUAUAUUAUCUUAAUUAUUUAUUUGACUGAGUCUUAUUAAUGAAUGCCAAAUAUUAUAUAUUAUUAAUUAAUAUUUGCCUUCUGUUUCGAGCAAAUAAGAAAGCUUCAUAUUGGCCAUUUACACGCACACACGCAUAUAUAUCAUAGUGUAUUAUGAAUAUUCCAAGUGAAGGGAAUUUGCAUGCUUUUGGCUUUGGGUUGAUGGGAAAACGACAAAAACACCAAUAUUAACCAAUAAAAUUAAAAGCUUUAGAAUUAAGGACGAAUCACGCUUGAAAGUAGGCAUUGGGUCUAAUACAGUUUGUAUACAUUUGAUGCUUCAAAUAAUGCAUUUUGAAAGUUUGCUGCUUGGGCUUACAUUUUACAGGGUUUUGUUGUAGAGAAAAAGAGAAUUUUUAAUUUGUAGAGUCCUCUUGUGAAGUGCUUCUUCUGAUACGUGGCAAUUGUGAAUGUAAGAAGUUUCAUACAUGUAAGUCUGUCUGGUGUUUGCAGCCGGGGGAGAAGACGAUAGGAACCAAUGAAUAACGUCUCUCCUGGUUUAUGCCCCCAUGCCUAAUUAUUUUUUACUCAAAACUGUUCUUUCAGAUUAAACUAAAUAUUCAGAUUGAUUUGUAAGAUAUGCAUUUGCUGCCAUUUUAAGCUUUCCUGUACUUUCAUUGGAACAUUGUCUAACCAAACAACUCCUUUUUUCCCUGUAAUGGUUCAUGAGCUAUAUAUGAUCGUUUCAGUUUUGUUACUUUUACAAUGUUUAACCUGCACAAAUGAUCUUGGGAUUCAUUAGCAUUGGUAUUAGUAAAAUAAAUUGUGAUUUUAUUAAAAUAUAAUAGAGAAAUAAAAGACAGAAAAUGGGUAAAUGAAGGGGAAAAAAAAAAAGAAUGGGGGAAAUUACAUAGGAAAAAAGAACUAGAGUUUCCGCCUCUCAAUACACCAACCAAAGAAUUACAACGCAGAAUGUGGAAUGUGAUCAAAAUCAAUCUAGAAGCUCAAAGCAAUGGCUGCCCAUCCCAACGCCAACCCUCCAAUUAUCUUCUUCAUGUUCUUCAUUGCCUCUGCUCCACUCUGCAUUUGUUUAUAAUAACUCUUUAAAUGUUACAAAUAAAUAUAGUUUUAAGAUGAAAAAAAGAUCCAUUGGUCGGUCCUUUUUCAGAAAAGUAAAUGAACUAGCUCAACGGUGCAUCCUUUAGACGCGAUUAAAAGAAAAACAAGAUCUCUCUACAUUUAUGCAGUGUAAAAGUUCAGAUCUGAAAGCGCAUUGUUAUAUGAUGUAAGCUACUGAAGCGUUAGUAAAGCGAAGAGAAUGUACCUCAUCGGCAGCGACAGAUGGACCGGGAGAGGAAGCAUCGAGGCUAGGUCCAGGAGCUCCAGUUGGUGGAGCGGGAGGUCCAAGCAUAUCAGGUGAAGGAGCCGGAGCAUGGUGUUUCUUGGAUUUCUUGCUUUUGCUCUUGCUCUUGCUUGGAGCUGGGGCGGGAACCUCAGCAGUAGUUGGUGCCGCAACAAGAGCCGGAGGAGAGGCCGAGCUCUCUGGUGGAGUCGUCGGUGCAGCAACGGGAGGCGAUUUGGCUGGAGGAGAGCUCACAGGUACUGGAGCCGGUGGAGAACUCACCGGAGCAGCAGCCGGAGGAGAAGAAGCCGGAGCAGAUUUAGAUGGGGCUGGAACCGCCGCAGACUUCUCCGGAGCCGCAGCCGGUGGUGAAGAAGUUGGUGGGGAAGUGGUAGGGGCAGCAGUUGGAGCCGGUGAUUUAGGUUUGCUAACAGGGGCAGUAGCGGGAGCAGUGGCAGGAGUAGUCGCGGCCGGCGGAGCUUUAGUAGGUGAGGCUGCCGGAGAUUGACCACCGACAGCGGUCACCACAAAGCAAAUCAAAGCAACGGCAAAUGCACUUCUACGAUCCAUUUCUUGAAGACAGAGGGAGAGUGAAGUAGUAACAGAAACUAAUGACAACGGGACGACAGACUCUCAAUAAAUAUAUAAAUAAAUGAGGGAGAGAAUAUCAGAAAAAAUGAUGAUUAUAAAAAGAAAAGAAGAAAAAGUUCGGAACGUGUUUGGAUCAGAAAUAGCCGUUGGAUGAGAAGCUAUUUCGGGGCCCACCGUCAUCGAACUAUCAUACAAAGACACAUUGUAAUGUGGCGAUCAAGACUCGACGACAGUCUGGAUUGGGGCCCACAUACAUGACCAUGUAAUUUGCUGUAACAUUACCUGAUUAGGGUAAACUACAGCCAAGGUCACUGAACUAUUAAUAAAUUUACAUUUCAGUCAUUUAACUUUAAAAAGUUACAAAAUAGUCACUAAAUCAUUCGGAAGUUUUUAUUUAAUUCAUUGAGAUAUUAAAUCUCUGUUAUAUGGCUUUCUUUAUUCACACGGCCUACACCAAUCAAAAGAUCUUAUUCUCCUUCUCUUCAACAAUUUAAUUAUUUUCAUAGAAUAAUUUUGAAUGUUAUGAAUUUACGAAUCAAAAUUCAAACAGUUUUCUUCUCUGAUCUCUUACAUUGACUAUUAGAUUGACUUGGAUCUGAGGUAUGUUCUUCUACUAUUUGAUAGGUACUAAUCCAUUGUACCAAUCGUCGAAUCAUUGCUUGGAGCUCGCUAGCCGAAAUUUAAAAAAAUACUUAAUAACCCAAUGACUUAAAUAAAUACUUUCAAAUAGUUCAGUGACCAUGUUGUAAUUUUUUAAAGUUAAGUGACCAAAAUAUAAAUUUACUAAUAAUUUAGUGACUUAGGUGUAGUGUACUCUAGUAAUUAAUAAUAUAAUAAAUGUUUAAUUCUAUCCUUGGGGUUUUGAAAUUUAGGCUUUCUACUUUUGAUUUUAAAAAUUUAGUUUCUCUUCAUUUUUAUUUAAAAGUUAAAAGUCCAAUUCACAAAAGCUUGGUUAAAUUUGAAUAUAUAUCAUUUUAAUAUUCGAAGACUUGAUCUAAAAAUAAUAAUAUAUAUUUAAAUUGAAUGGAAAUGUUAUUAAUUAAAUUUUAAUUUUUAAAUCAAGCAGGAGAGAUAGGGAAUUAAAAGGUGAUAGAUUAAAAUUUAAAAGCUGAAAGAGUAAAGGGGUUGGAAAAAAUUAAACCUACAAUAACUAAUUGAAUGAUACAAUUGUUAUGAAGUAGUGAGACAGCUGGACGUAGGGAGGGUGGGGUAUUGCUGCGCAAAGAGACAAACCAAUAGGAGGCGGUCGCGUGAUUGGGUAAAGAUGUUACGGGUGAUAUUUUGAGAUGGGUCACCGACUCACAGGCAAGAAACUGUGUCUGCAAGCAAAACUUGUCUGGAAUAACGUGACGUGUAUUAUACUUACCCUAACCUUUUCUCUUUUCGUUAAAAAUUGUCAAGUGGCUAAGGCUUUUUUUUUUUUAUCAUCUAUAUAUUAGAGUUUUAAAAAACAGUUUUGCAAAAUAGUUGAGUUGUGUAAUUAUUUCACCUCCACCCUUUGGCCUCUCUCGGUACAUUAUUAUGUAGAUGAGAGUAUUCGAUCGAAUCGAAUGAAAUUUUUUUUAAGUUAAUUAAGUUAACGAGUCUUAUUUUAUCAUUUUAACUUGAUUUAAAUUUUUUUAAAUUAAAUUGAAUAAAAUGAAAUUCGAGUCAAUUCGAAUAAAAUUAUUUGAGUUAAAUUAAAAAAUUAAACAUAUUAAAUUAAAAUCUUGUUAUACUAUAACUAACUUCAUAUUAUAGCACAUAAAUUUGAAACCAUAUAUAUUUGAAAAAAUUUUCAAAGCAAAAUAAAAAAAUUUACUUUAGUGCGAUAAACUUGAAUCAUUAAUUAACUUAUUUAUGUGCCAAAAUUAUUAUUCUAGAAAAUUUUUAAUUUUUUUAACUUUCUUUAUAUACUUUUUAGAACUUUUAGAAUUUUUUAUAAUUUUUAAGAAAUAUAAAUUUGUAAUUUAUAAAUAUUUUAAAAUUUUAAAAUUAUUUUGAAUUAUUUUGUAAUUUUUAUUGAGAGAGAGGUCAAUUUGCUUAUUUUAAAAUUGGCAAAGACCAAAAGGAUAUUUAUACCAAUAUGUUAUUCGAAUUAUUUGAGUUAUUUGAAUUGUAAAAUUCAACUCGAUUCGAACUCGAAACUCGAAUUACUUAUUUGAGUUGACUUGAAUAAUUUGAAUAACUCGAUUCAAUUAACUCAAAAUUCGAUUUUUUUUCGAAUCAAAUCGAAUUUUACUCACCCCUGUUAUUUUGCACAGCAUCACAAUAUAGAUUUUUCGGUUUUAGAAUAUCGCGAAUCCAUAUUCUUCUUCAUUGCUGUCGAGCUCAACCCUUCCACAAUCAUUAUCUAUACAUUAUCAUCAUACAUUAUAUGAAUCGCAGAAUAUAUUAUUGGAUUGUCAUAUAUAAUAAAUUUAUAUCUAUACAAUUUAAUCGAAGCUUCGAUUUUCAAUUGAUUUUACACUUCAUCUUCAGUAAUAUGAUAUCUUUUAUGAACAUCAUAUUAAUCAGACUCAAAUAUUACAUUGAUAUUUAUAUCACGAAUUUGAACAUUAUAAUUCACCACAACAAAGAACAUAUUGCCCAUUGUGUAUAAAAUUUUUGUAUAUAAUAUCAAUUUAAAUUAAAAAAAUUUAUCAAUAUAUAACUAAUAAAACAAUAAUAUCAUUCUCCCUAAUAUAAUAUCUUUAACUAUAACAUAAACAUAUUUCAUUUAAAAAAAACUAUGCUUAAUGUGAUACAUUGGAUUAUAAUAUUAUAUAAAUUAAAAUUUAUUAAAUUAUUUUUAUUUUUAAUAUUUUUAAGAAUAAUAUUGAGGGGAAAUUAAAUUAGAUUCUCAAAUAUGAAAUAAAAUAUAGGAUUUAUUUUCUAAAUAUAAGGACGCAAAUUUCAUAUAUAAAUGAUAUUAUAUAAUUAUAUUUUAUUAUAUAAAUCAUAAAAAUCCUAUUUCAAAUAAUUCUUUUUAGUUUCAUCAGUCAUUUGUUUUUAAGAUCAACAAAUUCAACGGCGUUUGUAAAAUAAAUUUUUGUACAAAUGAUUGUAAAAAGUUAGCUCAAUAAUCAAUUUUUAAAAUUUUUAUCAUAAUUUUAAUAGAUAUUAAAAUAAAAAGUAAAUAUUAAACAUAUAUAAAUUGCCAUUACAACUUACUACAAAGUAACUUAUAAAUAUAUUAUUUAUAUUUAAAAAUAAUAAAAUACAUAAAAAAAAUGGUUUGUAAUGAUAUUCCAAGAUUGACUUGCCAUUAAUUCUUCCCAAUUCAUUUUUAAUCUAAAAAUUGUCUUGGUAUAUUAACGAUAAUAGAAAUUUGUUAUAUGGGAAGAUUAAUUUAUUUAAUUACAUUUUUUGAGAAGUUAAGAGCAUAAUAUAAAAUAUUCUAUAUGCAUUAUAAAUUAUAACUGUGAUGGUAAAUAUUCUAUAUACAAUUAAAAUUACUUUAUUUCUUUAAAAAGAAUACUAGCAAUCGUUAAAAUGAAUUUUACUAAAUUGGAUGUAAUUGAAGCAUCACGAUUACACUUUUUGAUUUUUAAGGAGAGAGUGAGAAUGGAAAUAAUUACGCAAAUAAUCACAUCACAAUCUAAUUUUUAAAAAUUAUUUUUAUACAAGUUAUAAAAAACAUGAACAUGUAUGAGAGUUUGGGAUGAUUAUUACCAAAAUUUUCUUAUAUUAUAAAAAUAAUGGGUAUUUUUAAAGUUAUAACAAAAAAAAUAUUUAAAUCCUAAAAAAGUCUAAAAUUAUGAAAAAAAAAUGUUAUAAAAGUGUUAUAAUAUAUUUAUUUAUGAAAAGUUAUGGCUAAGAAGUAUAAAAAUAAUAUACUUAUUGGCAUAAUGAUUUUUUUGCCCCUCCAACUUUGUUAGAGUAUAAUGGUAACGACUCUGUUAUUGUAAGUUGUUAGUCUGUUAUUCAAAACUGUUAUGUUGUUAACAACAGUUACUAGCAACAACUAGCUCACAUAUUCUAUAAAUACUAGUGUUGUACAAUUCAAUGAAGAUAAUACAUAAAUAAUACAGAAUACCUUUUUCAAUACACAAUAUUGCUUUUACUUAGCUUACUGUAGAUAUUAACAUGGUAUCAAUCGCCUUGGUGCUGGAGACCUGAUCUUCGUUUGCUCCCAUGACUACCACUACUUCUAUUGACUCUGCCUCUGUCGAGCAUGGCUGUUCGGCGUCCACUGGUGUUCGGAUCGUUCAAUCCUUCCCUUGCCAUGACACUGUUAAAUUGGAUGAUGGAAAUUUCGUUCAAUGGCAGCAACAUAUUCGCCUGAUCAUUGAAGGUUACGAACUGACUGGUUUUUUGGAGGGCACGUUACCUGCUCCAUCGCGUUUUGUACAGUCGUCAGAGGGAUCUCUUGUUCCAAAUCCGGAUGCCUCGGCGUUCGUUCAACAUUAUAGGUUACUUGCCUCUUGGUUACUCUCCACUAUUAAUCCUUCACUAUUAUCCUCAUUUACAGAUGCUUGAACGGCGUGUGAUGUUUGGAAUACUUCCACUCGUCUCUUUGCAGCAGUCACGGGUGCAAAUUUAUCUCGCAUUUGUCACGAUCUAUACUCACUUAAGAAAGAUAACCUCUUAAUCAAAAAAUAUGUAGCAAAAAUUCAGAAUACCUGUGCCUUGAUCGAGGCUUCUGGCUUUCAGAUCUUAGAGGCAGAAAAGGUUAAGAUUGUCCUUACAGGUCUACCUCCGGAGUUUGAUGCUGUGCUUACCUUAGCAUCAUUCUCAUUUGAAACUCUACCAUUUCAACGUCUUGUUGACUUGUUAUUAGAAUAUGAGACGCGACAGAUGCAUGCAGUUCAAGAACUGUUGAUUCAUGCAAAUCUUGUGGAGUCUGUUCCGUUACCACCGAUGGUGGAUUCUGUUCAUGGUGGCCUCCUCCGUCCGGUGGUCGUGGCAAAGGAUUUCGUUCCUGCAUCCAAUGUCAUAUUUGCGGCCGAUUUGGGCAUUUAGCCUAGUGAUGUUAUUAUCGUUAUAAUCGCGAUUAUGAUGGACAACUGUCGGUGGCUCAGGCUUUAACUCCCGGUCGGUAGUCUGAGUCAGGUCUCGGCUGUUGGGUUUUUGUUUUCGUCGCAAACUCCUAGUGGGUUUGAUGGCCCUUCGACUACAGUGCCGUAUGGUUUCUUCUCUGGCAAAAAUUUUUGUGCUGCACCUCACAUGCCUAGGCUGUCCACUAGGGUUUCUAACCCCUUUGCAGUCUUUGAUGAUGGAUUUGGGCAUAAUGCCGCUAGGGCAAUGUUACAAUUUGGGCCUGGGCAUGAGUCUUCUCCUUUAGUGCCUAGGCAGGACUCAUAAUCUGGCAGUUUUGCUGCUGCUGCUAGGUUCGGGCCUGCUGCUACUAGGCCACAUGACUAUGGCUAUUAUCCUGGUCAGCCCGUGCGUGCCAGGUCAUCUAGCUCAAACUAGGAACUUGGGGGCACGUUUACUUUACUUGGGCCGCAGGCUACUAAUUUUCCAAAUGGGCCAACAUCCAAUUGUGUAAAGUUUUCUAAUUCUCUUGGACAUGGACGCGAGAUUGGGCCUUCCGGUGACGGUGAUUAUCAUGCGUCUAGGCCGUCUGUUCCUUGGCGGACCAAACUGAGGGCUCAUGUUUGCACUGAGUCUGAUCCGUGCAUUGGGCUCACUCGUCUACCCGAUUUACAUACGUCCGAUGUAUCUAAUUCUACUGAUCCUAAUAUUCACGCCACUCAAUUUAGGUCCAACCUUAAUGAUACUGGUUUCUAUAUCUCUAUACUCAUCAGAACUGCAUCCUGGUAUCCAAAUUCAAGGGCUACACACCAUGUAUGUCGCGAUGCCUUUGUGUUGAAUGACUCUACACCUUACUCAGGUACAUCCUCUCUAUUAAUGGGUGACGAGACUUCCACCAGGAUCUCGUCUGUUGGAAAUUCAGUGUUUCCUACAUAGAAUAAAUUACUUCGCUUAUCUAAUGUUUUAUGUGUACCGACUAUACAGAAGAAUCUACUGUCUGUAUAUCAGUUUGCCACUAGCAAUAACGUGUUUUUUGAAUUUCAUCUAACUUAUUGUGUUGUUAAGGACAUCAAGACUUAGAAAAUUUUGUUGAGGGGCCACAUUCGUGAUGGGUUCUAAUAUUUUUCUCCAUCGAUUGCGUCUGUUCCGUCUAUUGUGGCUCCUUCUAUUGCCAAUAUUGGACUUUAGACUCGGACUGCUAACUGUGAUAAUUUUUCUUUAUGGCACAAGUGUCUUGGUCAUCUCUCUGCUUCUGUUGUUAAAUCUGUUUUAGAUAAAUGUAAUAUUGCUUCCAAUAAAGUUUGUCUUGAUAAUGUUUAUACUACAUGCCAAAAAGGGAAGUCUCAUAAACUGCCUUUUCCAACCCCUACUACUGAAUAUACUGAUCCUUUUACUUUGGUGGUCUUCGACCUAUGGGGACCUACAUCAGUUGCCUGUAGACGUAAUCGGUAUUAUGUCUCGUUUAUUGACAUGUGCACUCACUUUACUUGGAUUUAUCUUAUUCGUUAAAAGUCUUAGGCGGUGGAUUGUUUUGUUUAGUUUCAACAAUUAAUCAAGACUCAAUUUGGUAAAAAAAUCAAACAAUUUCAGAGUGAUUGGGGAGGAGAGUUUUGCGCUUUCACGUCAGUGUUGGCGACUCAAGGGAUAAUUCAUAGACUGUCCUAUCUUCAUACGCCCGAACAGAAUGGGGUGGCUGAACGCAAUCGCCAGCAUAUUGUUGACAUGGGUAUUACAUUUUUGGCCCAAACAAAUCUUCCUAUAGAUUAUUAGAGCAAUGCAUUUUUUGUGCUAUUAUCUCAUCAAUCGUCUUUCUACCUCGGUUUUGAACGAACAAUCCCUGUACAAGGUUCUGCAUAGACAAGAUCCCACAUAUGAUCAUUUACGAAUGUUUAGGUGUUGUUGUUUUCCAUAUCUGCGUCCUUUUCUGCGUCACAAGUUGGAUUUUCGUUCUUAACCUUAUAUGUUUAUAGGAUAUAGUUCCCAACAUAAAGGGUAUCAAUGUCUCACAGCGGAUGGUAAGGUCGUUAUUUCUCAUCAUGUUGUGUUUGAUGAACACCAUUUUCUGUUUCCUACGUCUGUUACGGGAGGUUCCAGAUCUUCAUUAGGUCAAUCUCUCUCACCAACAUAUGUUCCUCUUGUUCAGCCUGUCUGCUCUUGACCCACGGAGUCCUCAUCCGCUCAACCUCUUGCGUUAACCUCACCUCUUGGUUUAUGUCCCUCUCUUUCUAACUCUAAAGUUCCUCAGGUUGUUUUGGGAUCUGUACAUGAGCUCUGUCCUCUCUCCUCUUUACCUGACAAUGACGGUGUACCCAAUCCAACCACGAUUGCUUCCAAUAUUCCAGUUUCUCCACUAUUUCGUCAGCUCUUUUGCACCUAACAAAUACUUAUCCGAUGGUUACUUGGUCUAAGGCUGGCGUUUUUAAGCCCAAGGCUCUGUCUGUUGAAUCUGUUGAGCCUCACACGAUUGAGGAAGCCAUUUUUACCACCAAAUGGCUUGCCGCUGCUCGGGCUGAGUAUGAUGCCCUCAUUCAUAACUCCACCUGGAACUUGUUUCGUUACUAAAUAAUUGUAAAGUGAUCUGAUGUAAAUGACUUUUCAAAGUAAAAAAAUCUUGAUGGCACGAUUGCAUGUCGUAAGGCUUAGUUAGUAAUUAAAGGAUGUUCUCAGGUACCUGGAUGCGAUUUCAAGGAAACAUUUAGUCCAGUAAUAAAACCUGCUACUAUUCGAAUCAUACUAUCUAUUGUUGUUUCCAAGGGUUGGCAACUUCGUCAGGUGGAUGUGAAUAAUGCCUUUUUAAAUGGUGAUCUUACUAAUGAAAUGUUUAUGCAUCAACCUCCAGGGUAUGUUCAAUAUGGUUCUAAUGGUAAACAUUUGGUCUAUCGUCUGAAGAAGGCUUUGUAUGGACUAUGUCAGACUCCGCGUGCUUGGUUUGAUAAAUUGAAGUGCUUUCUCCUUUCUGUUGGUUUUCUUCUAUUAAAGUCUGAUACAUAUUUGUUUAUUAAAGUUACGCCUAACUCCACUCUUUAUGUUCUUGUGUAUGUGGAUGAUAUUAUCAUUACUAAAAGCAUGUCUACCUGUAUAAAUAGCUUUGUUCAGUAGUUGAAUAAGGAGUUCUCACUUAAACAUAUGGGUGAUCUCCUUUAUUUUCUAGGGAUUAAGGUUACUCGUUUUGCCGAAGGGUGUCUUCAUCUAUGCUAACGAAAGCACAUUCGCGAUCUGCUAGAUAGGAGUUCCAUGACUCAUGCAAAGAGUGUUCAUAAUCCUAUGAUUACUUCGUCUCCUCUAUCCAAGGAUGAUGGGGAUCAUCUUCAUGACCCUACUGAAUACAGAAGUCUUGUAGGUGCUUUACAGUAUGUGGUCCUUACUCGACCUGAUAUUGCCUACGCGUUAAAUCGCAUAUGUUAGUUCAUGCAUGCGCCUACUGCUGUCCAUCUGGUUACAUUAAAAUGAAUCUUGUGGUAUUUAUGUGGUACCCUUGAUUAUGAGAUUGUUUUUCAUCAAUCUUCUCAACUUUUGUAACGCCUAAAAAUUUCUAAUUUCGUUAUUAUGAAAAUAUGACACAAAUAUCUAUCAACUUUAGUGGUUAUGUGUUCUGAAAGUGUCUGGGAGGUCCCAAGUUUGAGCCUUCGCUUGGGAAAAUUUUAGUAUUUUGAAUGAAUUAGGCCUUACUCUUGUUCAGUAGGCUUCUAUUUGAUUGUUGGGUAAAUUACAUCAGAAUGAAUUCAUGAGAAAGGUAUAAUAAACUUUGUGAGACAAGGUCAGAAUGAAUUUGGGUUCCCCUGUUCUGACUUUGAAAAAUCAUGAAAAUUGGAGAAAAAUAAUUGGGGGUUAAAAUUUACAUAUUUAAAUUAUUGUUGAGACUAUUUUCAAUAAAAACAAAUUGAAACAUCAUCCAAUUUUUUUACUAAGAGAUAAUUAAUUUUUAGCAAAGAAGGGACGAAGCUGUCAGACAGCAGAACAGGGGUAAGUUUGAAGAUUUUACUGUACUUAUUGGCAGAACAAAAAAUUUUAAAAAUUUUAUGGUAAGGUAUUUGAGUCUAGUUUCAAAACCAUCAAGUGGAUCUUAAUUCGGAAUUCUGUAGCUCAAUAUAUAAAUAAUUUAGUAACAGUGACUCAAGUAGACAACUUUGAAGGAACAUAUAAGUAAAUAGUGAAAACAUAUAUGAAUAAUUAACUAGCACGAGUUACAUUAAAAAUGGAUCAUGUGGCCAAGGCCAAUUUGGGCCGAGUGGGCCACAUGGGCGUGUGAGCCUAUUUUUCUAAAAAGUUCUGUAAGGUUGCACGGGUCGCCCAAGUCAACUAUGGACCUACUGAAGGGUCGGUAAGCUUUACUUAGACCCCUAUCUGUGUGAUCUGUGUGAUUUCUAUACCGAGCAUGACUUAUGAUAUCUGAAUGUAUGUACUAUUAAUUGCAUAAUGGCAUGACAUAUUUUGUAUGCUGCAUUGCAUCGGGGUAGGUUGAUGAUAUUUGGAGAAAGUGUCUGAAAGGCUAUUAAGUCUAUUAUCUGCAGCUCAGCUGCAACCUUAUGAUUAUGUGCCGCAUUUCGGUACAGCAUGGUGUGUAGGGAUGAGUGGGUUGAUUUAAUCCCCACAUGGUGUGUAGGGUUGGACGAAGAUGGUGUGUAGAGGCUGGUGGGUAGGAUUCUGAUUUACUGUAUCUGCAUUUUGUAUCUGAUAUAGGCCAAGGCCCUAAUGCAUUUCUAAGACUGUAUCUGAAUGGGUUAAGGCCCAAACUGAUUCUGUGAUGGACACAGGCCUCGGACUGUAUCUAACUGAAUUCUAUUGAUUAUUUGUAUGCAUGUUUUCUGUGGGGAUUACACAUUGAGUUUGCGAAAACUUACCCUUUCUUUGUUUAAUCUAUAUAGGUAAUCCCCAAACUUGACGGGUCGAUGCAGCGGAGGACUCAACGGUGGCCACACGUAAAUUUUAGACUAUUUUCCAUAAUUUCUAGAAUUUAUUACUUAUUUGAGGUUUUUGAUGUAUCUUCUAGACUAUGAACUGGAUGGCUUUAAAUUUGAGACUUUAUACUAUUUUUUAUGGAUUUUUUUUAAAAACUGCAACUCCACAAAACACGAUUUUUUUCCUAAAAAGCUAAGGUUCUUCGUAAGUAGAAACAAUUUUCCCUAAAUUAAUUGGUUACAAAAGCUUUCAAUAAGAGACAAGUUUUAAAGUAAAUCAACUAGUUUUUUUUUCGAAUUAAAUAAAAGCUAACUUACUGUAACGGUUUUUAAAUUCGACAAUAUUAUAUUUGAAUCUCUUUCCAUGUGACAUCGCCAGAUUCGACCAUAACAUCUAGGCCGGGUUUAGGGUGUUACAUUUAGUGGUAUCAAAGCCAGGUUGCAAUACUCAGCUGUGGAUUUGGGUUUUAAAACUUGGUUUUAAAGAGAUGAUUUUUAAAUGGUUUGAAAUAUUUUUGACUGAGUAUGUGGUACACUGAGUCUUCGGCGCCGAUUCUGUAAAUGUUCUAAAAACUUUGGUAAGUUUUUGAAAAUAUGAGUAGCAUGUUCUGAAACUACUAUAGGUAGUACACUGUACUAAGAACACUGUAGAUAGAAUAUACUAAAAACAGUAGCGAAACUGAAAACUAUAGUAAGUCUGCGAUUCGUGUUAACAAACUCUAAACUUCUGAUACUAUUUUGCAUAAAAUAUCUACUAAUAGAUAUCGAAACUGUAAUUGAUUCAUAAAACUGUUAACACAGAUAAGCUACGAAUUCUACGAUGAGUGCACGAGGUAUCCGCGGACGGGUACUAAAGGCCGAGGUAGAGGCUGUAGAGGGGCUCGAGCUGAGUCCCGGACCAUGAUCACCUCUAAUUGUGAGUCUAAAUAUUAUAAGGUCGGUGUUAAUUAUGCAAAUAAAAAAAUUUCUUGCAAUAUAUUGUGGUGUAUGAUACCAUUUGAGAAAAUAGUGUUAAACACAAGCACAAUAAAACUUUGAUUUGAAACAUUUAAGGCUUCAAAAUGCGGUUGAGAAGGUAUUUGUUGUUCUGAAAACAUAUUUAUCAUAUUAACAACAUCACUUUUGUAUAACAUAUAAAAAAAAAGUUGGAUCGUACUAGCAUGUUGCAUAUUUCACAAUUUUAAUCAUAGGUGGAAUUGAGAUAAUUUAUAUUUCAAAAAGUACAUGGAAGAAGAACAUCUUGAUAAUCUUAAAGAUACAAAUUCAAAUGAUGAUUAACUCAAUUAAAGAGAAAAGACCAACAUAUGAUAAUAAGGUGCAUAUUUUAAAUACUAAAGAGGGAAUAACCCAAUAAAUAUGAACUAGAACAAUUAAAAAAAUUGUAUAUGGUUUAUUUUUCUUGUUUUUUUUUAGUAAUCGUAUUAUCAAUUACAUUUUUAGACUAACACAAUGCAUAUGAUUAUUUUAUUUUAAUUUUUGUUACUUAUUUAUAAAUUAUUUUUAUCAUACUAAUAAAUUUUUAUAGUAAUUAAUAUUUUUUAAAUGAAAUUUAUGUAACUGUGUAAUUACAAUUUGUACUACCAAACAUGACAUAGGAAAUUACGAUAUAAUUACUCUCUGUUAACUAAAUACGUCUAGGAAAUUACAAUUUUCUUAUAAUUACAAAAGAGAGUAAUUACUAUCCUAAUAAUUACAUUUUCAUUCAAUUAUUUUGUGCUAUCCAAACAAACCCACAUGUUUAGCUUAAGUACUCACAUGCACAUACAUACGCCAUAUUUCAUACAUAAAUCAUUUAAUGAUAAUUUGACAACUUGAGAUUAUGAAAUGUAAAAGUGAACACUAUCACCAUACAUUGGAUACACGGAUCUCCAUCACACCAAUAACUCAAAGAGUCUAACAUGUCCCAUAAGUGUAGUAUAAUGCCAAACACUCCCUAACACACCAACAUGUCCAAAUGAAUGGAGCUUAGCUCCACAUUCCCUUAUCUCUCCAACUUGUCCUAGGGCUUCAAUGCCCAAAUCACAAAAUACAAAGGUGAGUGCUCACAAUCCUAUCGCAUGCCAACUAUAUCAAAUGAUUUUAAGAGAUCACAAGGCCAAAACAUCCACAAUUACACAUAUUUAAUUACUACUUUAGUGCACAUUGUCUCUAUUUAUAUUCGUCAAUUUACAUCACAAACUUGUACACAAUGCAUACUUAUCGAAUUCACAUUUAUUUGCGUUUUAAGUGUCACAACAAUGCUCCUUGAGCCAUCAUAUAUCAGACCACAUUUGUGUGCACUAAAAUCAAUUUAUCGCAUCCAAAUAUUCACCCACAUUACCUAUCAUAAGAACCUCACGUUCCUCAACUCGACAUACAUUAAGUAAAGUUUUACAUUAAGGAAAAAAGUAUAAAGAAGGCUUACACUCAGAACUUAGGAUAGGAUUUUAGGCUAUUCCUAAGUUCCCGAUUAACUCUACGAAUCGUGCAUACUAGCAGUGACUUCGGACACUCACCAAUCACGCUUCCGCUUAUUAGUCGAAAGCUCAAACUAGGUUUUCUUUACCUUUUGCCUUGCUCGUAGAGGGCUCCAACGAUUUUGAAACUUUUAACUAGUUUAGCCAAAACUCAAAUUUCUUAAUCUAGACCUGUUCCUAUUGCUUAAAAUCGAUUCCAAACACCUAGUUAUUCAUUUAAGAGUAGAUCUCAACCUUUAAAACACCCAGAAUUUUCAGAUUUAUGUUUCUGAAAAAUUUCAACGUUCAUGACUACUUUGAACGAAAAAUCAUUAAAUCCUUCAAAUCUCUUAAUGAUUGAUUAAAGUAAGUUUAAAAACCUUCUAAUCUCAUCAAAACAAGUCAAAAAACACCUAGAAAAAACAAUUUAAUUGGAAAACCUGAAUUUCACCAUUAAAGAUCCCAAUUUUGACUAAAACAUGAAAUUCUCUUGGCACGAAUCAAAAAUUGAUUUGAGUAGCUAAAAUAUAUCAAAACUUAGUAAGGAAACAAAAAUUUAAUUUAAUCAAGAAGAAGAAUGAAUGAAUGAAAGGUUGAUUUCCAGAAAAUUCCUUUGGAAAUCGAAUGAGAAAAUUGAUAAUAUUUUUGGGGGGUUUUGUUAAAAAUUCAGAGAGAUUUCAGAGUUUUGGAGAUGAGAAAAUCACAAAGGUUAAGCCAAUUUGAGAGAAAAUUAGGGAUUUGGGUUUAAGAGAAAUUUUAUUUUGAAUGUUGCAAAAGAUAAGGAGAUGUGAGUGGCUGCAAUUUGAAACCCAAUUUACAAAAAUUGGGCAAUUUGCCUUUUUGGUCACUCCUAGUGUAACACCCCUAACCCAUAUCCUUUGCCAAAACAAGGUUACGGAGCGUUACCAGAGUUUACAGAUUAUAUAACAUACAUUUCAUAUCAUUUAGCAUUCAUAUUAGAAAUCAAUCAAAAUUGAUCAUAUUGUCCCUUAUGUGAGCCCUCGAGGCCUAAAAUAGACAUUAGAAACAUGUCGGGACUAAACUAGGUACUCAGAGAAUUUUUCAGAAAAUAUUACAAUUUUUCAAAGGUGUAGGGGACACACGCUCGUGUGGUCAGGUCCUGUGACUCACACGGUUAAGAGACACGCCCAUGUCUUAGGCUGUGUAGGCAUUCGAAAUAAAGACACACGACUGUGUCCCAGCCCAUGUCCAAACUUAGGAGAUCUCUGACUUGGGUCACACGGCCAAGACACACGCUUGUGUGCUAGGCAGUGUGAGAAUUUUGUUUUGCAAUUUUAAAGAUGCAGGGGACACAAGCCCGUGUCUCUACCCGUGUAGACAAAAAUAGACCAUUUUCCAAGCCAUAUUUUUUACCCCAAUUGUCAUCAACCUAACUUACAUUUUUACACAAUAAUAAGACAUAACAAGGCAUUCAAAUCAAGCCAAAACCAAGUCUUCUACAUAACAUAUCACCACAUAUAUCUAAGUAUCCAUACUUACCAAAUUAACCAAAUACACAUAUAUGCAUAUUUGUACCAAAUAUACUAUCUCAAAAAAAUCAUCAAUAUGCCUAUAUGAUUUCCAUCAUUCAACCAUAUCACACACACAUCAAACAUGUUAAGGCCAUAUAUAUACAUAUCAAAAUGUAUCAACCAGCCAUUCAAAUGGCUAAUCACAACAAAACAUUUGCAUGCCAUCAUUGGCCAAGUUAACCUAUACGUGUCAUUAUAACCAAAAUUGAUUUACUAAAUAUACCGAAAAGGGCCGAUGGAUAGUGUGAAGUUGCUCUGACCAGCUUCCAACCAAAAUGAGCUUCCGAAUUACUAUAAAACAGGGAAAAUAAAACAGAGUAAACAUUUAAUACUUAGUAAGUUUGUAUAACAUGAAAUUUAACUUACCAUUUAAUCACAAUUAAGGUAAGCAUUCAAGGCAUAUUCCAACCAAAUUGGCCAAAAGCCCUAACACAUAUCCUCAUCAUGUUAGCCAAGUAAUCACAUAUAAUAACCCUUAAUCAUGGAUGAACAAGAUCUUCAAGCAAGUUCCACAUUCAAGGGCUUUUACGAUUUUGUCCCUAGGCUCAAAAAAUGAAAUUCAUACAAUUUAAUCCUUAUUUCAAGCCUAGCUGACUUUCAUAUAUAACAACAGUAGCCCAUGAAUUUCAUAAAAUUUAGAAUUUUUCCAUGAAUUUAUAAUAUUUUCAAUUUGGUCCCUAAAUCAUAAUUUCAUCAAAAUUCACUUUACAGAAGUUAUUUAGCUAUCAACAACCUUUCAUUUUCUACCAUAAAAUUUCAUAAUUAAACUAUACUCAUCCAUGGGAAAACCCUAACACUUUAAUAGUUUUAAAAUUAAUACCCAAGAUAGCUAGAUUAAGCUAUUACGAUUUCGAAAACAUAAAAAUCAUUAAAAACGGGACCAAAAUACUUACGUAAUUAAGCAAAAUAAGCUUGCUUGAGCUCAACUCUCAUGGCUAGGGUUUCCAUGUUUUAUUUUAGGAAAGAUGAUGAAAAUGAUAUUAAUUUAAUUAAUUAUUUCAUUUACCAUCAUUAUUUUAUCAUCUUUCCAAAAUUAACCCUAAUUCUUUAUUCAAUUUCUAAUGAUGAAUAAUCAUCCUUAUCUGCUAACUCUUCUAAAUGGUCUAUUUUUCAUAUAAGGACUUCAAAAUUUAAAUUCCAUAGCUAUUUGAUACCUUUAGCUACUAGAAUUCAACUUUUGCACUUUAUGCAAUUUGACCCUCUUUAUCAAAUUAGACAUGUAAACGAUAAAAUUUCUUAACAAAAUUUUGAUAUGAUAUUUCUAUCAUACUGUAGACCAUAAAAUAAUAUUAAAAUAAAUUUUAUUUCGACCUCAGAUUUGUGGCCCCUAAACCACUGUUCCGAUUUCACUGAAAACGGGCUGUUACACCUAGCUUUUCCCUUUUUCUAAUUAGACCUCAAAAUUGAAAUUUUUUUUUAGCUAACAAAUAAAUUAAGAACUUGAUUAUGAAACUCACAUACUUAAAUUACUCACUUACGACCUUAUUUUCCUUUAUCUGACACAACCUCCAGCUAAAAAACUCGAUUCUUCUAACCCGUUCUUCAGAGUGUGACAGCUCUUCCCCUCUAAAAAGAAUUUUGUCCUCGAAAUUUUCCUGAUGACACAUCAUUCGCUUAAUCACAAAACCUGUUAUGUUUUCCUUUAAAACAACCACCACGCUUUCGCUGCACAACUCAGAUUUCUUUUUAACUUUUUAGGGUUUUUUAUGAAGAUCCUAUUCACUACCACGGACUGUCUUUCGGUGACUUCACUAUUAGUUUCCUUUAUUCUCUAUGAUACUCUCAUUUGAAGAACUCGUAAUCAUAGUUCCUAAUUUAAUAGCCUUUAUCUGGAUUCUUUGCUUAUUAGUUAAAUUGCUAAAAAUUUACAAAGGCAUAGAUCCUAAAUCUACCAAUGAGAAUAAAUGGAUUGAUUACAAGGAAAAAAUACCCGCAAUCUCGUUGAUAGAAUCCUAAUCUUGUGACUUCCUAAUAGCAUACAUGCGAGCUGGUCCUUCGGUCUCCACCUGAGUAGUAACGAUAUGAGCAGCAUCCCACAGCCCAACCGGUCCCACAUUACCACCUCUACCUCUGCCACGACCUUGAGCAUGCACAGGUACAGGUGCAAAACUCCGAGUCUACGAAACCUCAACUCUAUUUGGACAAUCCCUCACCAAGUGUUCUUUAGAGCCACACUUGAGACAUCCUCUUGUCAAUUUUCGGCACUCUUCAGAAUGUCUACGCUCAUAAUGUCCACAAUAUGGCCAUCCAAAUUCUCUUGACAACCCACCAGUGCUAACCACCACACUGCUCUACUGCUUAGAUUGACUUGGUAUAAACUUGUGUCAUGCACUCCUAUCAAAACCCUAAAUAUCAUGGCCUCUCUUAGACGGUCGUCUAGAUCUUUUAGAACUAUUAAAGGUUCUUUUCCCUGAUUCAGUCACCACUGAGCACGAUGGCUCAGCUAAAGUUUCCUCAAUAGCUUUGGAUUUCUCAACCAUCUCAUCGAACAACUCAAUAUUUUAAGCUACCGAAUAAACUCUAAUCUCCUGAUUAAGCCCAAAACAAAACCACUAGUAUCAGUCUUUCUUAGUAAGUACCAUCUCAAGAACAUACUGGUUGAGUCACACAAAUUUCGGUUCGUACUCAGCCACAGUCAAACUACCUUGAACCAGGUCUAUAAAUUCAAGGUUACGGGCUUCCAAGUACUGCUCACCCGUAAACUUCCUUUUAAACACUUCUAAAAAAUAAUCUUAAGUCAAACAGUCUGCAAUAGUACCUCUCUUCAAUGUAUUCCACCAACGGUGGGUUACUCUGUCGAGUAGGGACAUAGUACAUCCCAACUUCUCCUCGCCAAUAGUGGACAUGUGAUCGAGGAUCCUCUCCACACUUUCAAGCUAGUAUUCCACUAUAGUUGGAUCAACUCCCUUUAAUUGAAUAAAUUAUCGCUUAUUGCCCGCAGACAUUCAAGUGGCAGUCCCCGAUUGGAAGGAGCAGGGUUGGCAUCUACAAUCCUCUGAAAUACCCCAAUCAGGGCUUGCAUCAGAAGGCCAACACUCUCAUCUGGUACAUUUACUCUAUGAGGCAUCACAAGAGGUGCAGAGGAUGUACUAUCCUCUUGAGCGUUCCCAUUCACAUUAACACGUCUACGAGGCAUAUUGUAUCUACUCUAACAAACACAAUCAACCAAGAGUGUGAGUGGCGGGAAAUGAUCCAAGGCAUGUUCCUGAAAGGAAACAUUUAAAUAAAGGAAAUGUGUUCCCAAUCCUACCCCCCAAAAAAACAAUUUCAUAAUAACUUCAACAGAGAUAUUCAAGUCAAACAGUUUAAGUAAUAUGAAAAUCUAGGUACAUGGGUUACACCCUAGUCCCGAAUACUGACAAACUUAGGUCUAACUCUUAGAAAACCUAGGCUCUGAUACCACCAAACGUAACACCCCUCAUCUGGCCUGGUCGUCAAACCCUAGUAAUAGGAUGCUACAAUCGCUAUUGAAACUUAGGCUCCGUUUGUUUCACUGAAAAUAGCUUUUGGAAAAUGAUUUCUGGAAAAUAACUUACUUUUCUAGAAAAGCUAAUAUUUUCUGGUGUUUGGAUGAAUCUGUAUAAAAUAUUUUCUUUUGUUUGGCAGGUUCUUUAAAAAUAUUUCAUAAAAGUCGUUUUCAAUUAAACAAACAUACAUUUGAGAUUUUUUUUAUUUCAUUUUCUAAUUGAGUUUAUUUUAUAUCUAUAAUUUUAUAUUUUACAUUGUUUUUACAUAUAUUAAAAAUAUUUUGUUAAAUUUAGGUUCAUUGCAACGAUUAUUUUUAGUUACAUGACUACCAACUGAGUAUUUUUNNNNNNNNNNNNNNNNNNNNNNNNNNNNNNNNNNNNNNNNNNNNNNNNNNNNNNNNNNNNNNNNNNNNNNNNNNNNNNNNNNNNNNNNNNNNNNNNNNNNNNNNNNNNNNNNNNNNNNNNNNNNNNNNNNNNNNNNNNNNNNNNNNNNNNNNNNNNNNNNUAUUUUAACAUUUAUACUACAAAAUAUUUAUUAUUAAUAUAUUUAUAAUUGUAAUAAAUAUUUAGUAUUAAAAUAUUAAUAUUGGUAUUUUUUCAAGUGAAUAAUAUUAUUUAAAAUUAUUAUUUUUAAAAUUUACUAUUAAAAUAAAAUUUAAAUAUUAAAUAAAUUAUUAAAAAUAAUAAAUUAUAUUAAUAAUUUAUUAUAUGACUAAAUAUAAAUAAUUAAAUACGUAUUUUUAAUAAUACUAAAAAAUAUAACAGUUUCUAUUAAUAUUUUAAAUAUUUUAAAUAUUUUAAAAAUAAAAAUAAAAAUUAUUAUCAAUAUAAUAAUAUUAAACUUGAUUUAAGUUAAUUUUUAUAUAAAAGUAAAAUUAUCUAUUGAAAAGCUCUUUUCCGGAAAAUGACUUACGCUUUUCAAAAAGGUAAGCCAUUUUACAAGGAAAAAGGCUUAUUUUUCGUUGACUUGUAAGUCAUUUUCCGUUGACGAAGCUGUUUUCUGUGAAACAAACACAGGAAAAUGCAGAAAAUAUUUUCCGUAAAACCUUUUAUAUGUAAAUAAACGGACCCUUAUACACAUGCACAGAUAGCUUCAAAUAAGAACAACAACUACUACAUUCAAUAAUAAAAAAGGGCGGUCCUGACUAGUUAAACAUUAUACGACACUAGAAACAAUUUUAUCCGUAAAUAGGGUCCAUUUUUUUAAAAGUCUUAAAGAAAACAAUGUAGGUAUCGAUACAAAAUAGUAGGUAUUGAUAUAUAGUAAAUUAGGUAUUGAUACUGAUGUAAAAAUUGAUACAUUUUUAGCUCUCUGUCAAAAUUUUUUUAAACCAUUUUAUCGAUACUUUGGCAAGAGUAUUGAUAUUUCAAGAAAUACUCGUGGUUGGGUAUCGAUACAAAAUUGGGUUAUUGUUAAUUUUUAAAAACAUCCCAACCUCAUGGUAUCGAUAAUUGUGUCCUGAGUAUUCAAUAAUGCCUUUAUUCAAAGUGUUCAAAAAUUAUAAAACCACCUAUUCAAAAGUUUAUUUCCUUGCUAAGAUCACUUCCUUGGCCACACCAUUCACACCGAAAGUGCUACUUAUCUGCAAAAUUUUAAUGUGAAGUGUGUGAGCUUAAACAAGCUCAGUGAAUGUUCAAAAUUACCACAAGCAUACAUAACGUCAUAUGUUAAGCAAGAGCAUACUACGACACAUUCACAUUCAUAUUUCAUUAAAUCAAAAUAUCAUAUUCAUGCUACAUUAUCUCACAUGUUUAGCUUAAGUACUUACAUGCACAUACAUAUGACAUAUUUCAUACAUAAAUCAUUUAAUGAUAAUUUGACAACUGGAGAUUAUGAAACGUAAAACUAGAGUCUAUCACCGCACAUUGGAUACAUAAAUUUCCAUCCCACCAAUGACUCAAAAACUCUAACAUGUCCCAUAAGUGUAGCAUGUUGCUAAACACUCUCCAACAUACCAGCAUGUCCCAAUGAAUGGAGCUUAGCUCGACAUUCCCUUAUCUCUCCAUCUAUGGCAUGCCAACUAUAUCCAACGGUUUCAAGAGAUCACAAGGCAAAAAUAUCCACAAUUACACAUAUUUAAUUAUUGUAUUAAUGCACAUCAUCUCUAUUCAUAUUCAUCAAUUUACACCACAAACUUGUACACAAUGCAUGCUUACUGAAUUCACAUUUAUUUGCACUUUAAGUGCCACAACAAUGCUAAUUGAGCCAUCACAUAUCAGACUACAUUUGUAUGCAUUAAAAUCAAUUUAUUGCAUCCAAAUAUUCAUACACAUUACUUGUCAUAAGAACCUCACAUUCCUUAACUCGACAUAUAUUAAGCAAAGUUUUAUAUCAAGGCAAAAGUAUAAAGAAGGCAUACACUCGGAACAUAGGAUAGGAGUUUAGGCAAUUCCUAAGCUCCCGAUUAAUGCUACGGAUUGUGCAUACCAACAGUGACUCAAGACACUCACCAAUCACGUUUCCACUUAUUAGUCAAAAGCUCAAACCUAGCUUUUCCUUACCUUUCGCCUUCCUCGUAGAGGGCUCCAAUGAUUCUGAAACUUAACAAACAUUAACCACACACUAUGUAAAAACAAUUAAUAGCCAUAAACUCACUAUAAAUCAAACAUUAACGUAGAUUCUACCUAACUCCUCUUUAAACCAAAAAUUUUGACUAGUUUAGCCAGAACUCAGAUUUCUUAAUUUAGACUUGUUCCUAUUGCUUAAAAUCGAUUCCAAACACCUAGUUAUUCAUUUAAGAGCAUAUCUCAAACUUUAAACUACCCAUAAUUUUUAGAUUUAUGUUUCUGAAAAUUUUCGACAUUCAUGAGUACUUUGAACAAAAAAUCAUUAAAUCCUUCAAAUAUUUUAACGAUUGAUUAAAGCAAGUUUAAAAACCUUCUAAUCUCAUCAAGAAAAGUCAAAAAACACCUACAAACAACAUUUCAAUUGGAAAACCCAGAUUUAGCCAUUAAAGACCCUAAUUUUGACUAAAACAUGAAAUUCUCUUUAAACAAAUCAAACUUGAUUUGAGUAGCUAGAAUAUAUCAAAGUUUAAUAAGGAAACAAAAAUUUACCUCUAUCAAGAAGAAGAAUGAACGAAAGUUUGAUUGUCAAAAAAUUCAUUUGGAAAUCGAAUAAGGAAAUUGAUAAUCUUUUUGGGGGUUUUCUUAAAAAUUUAGGAGAGAUUUUAGAGUGGGAGAUGAGAAAAUCGCGAAGAUUAAGUCAAUUAGGGAGAAAAUAGGGGAUUUUGGUUUAAGAUAAUUUGUUGUUUUGAAUGAUGGAAAAAGAUGAGGGGAAGACGUGAGUGGCUGCUAUUUGAAAGCCAAUUUACAAAAAUUGGGCAAUUUGCCCUUUUGGUCACUCCUAACUUUUUCUUUUUUCCAAUUAGGCUCGAAAUAAAUUGAAAUCCAUUUUUUUCAAAUUAGACGUCAAAUUUGAAUUUUGUUUUGAGCUAACAAAUAAAGUAAGAACAUGAUUAUGAAACUCACAUACUUAAGUUACUCACUUACGACCCUAUUUUCUAUUAUCUGACACAACCUCUGAUUAAAAGACCUGAUUCUUCUAGCCCAUUCUUCAGGGUGUGACAUGGAUAUAACAUUAAAAUAUUUAGGAUAAGUUCUCAAAUUAACAUUAUAUGGGGAGAGUAUUACUAUAAGAACUUGUUAGAAACCUUUUUCAACUUUUCGUGCUAUAAAUGUGCUCCUACAGUAGCAAUACCGUGAUAAAAUGUUGUUUAAUUGUGAUUGAAUAAAAUAACAAGUUAUUAAAUAAAGAAAAAAAACAUUAAGUCUGUCUUACUAGAUCUACUCCAUUCCCUGAAGUGAAUGUAGCAAUAUAUAACAAAUUCAAAGGAUAUAAUCGUGGACAUGGUAGGUGGAACUGUAAUAAUCGUCAAAUGGGUAGUCAUAAUAAUUUUUCUUACCACCAAAAGUGGAAAGUGAAGAUAAUGUUGAAACUGAUAAUAAGAUUUGCGUUGGAAUUCAAAUGAAUAGUUUCAUCCUAUAUUCCAACUUUUAAUUAUUGUGCAUUUAUGGUAUGCUUCUAUGCUUUGCUUAAUUUUGCACAUAUAUCUAUACAAAUUAAAUAUGUGUUUGUGUGUAUUUUGUAAAUUGAUAAAAUUUAUUUGCAACAAAUGCAUGUAGCUUUGGCUUUGAUUUUAUUUUAUUGAGACUAAUGUUCUAUAUUUGGAUGUUUCAAAGAUGACAUUUAUAACCAACUCUAGACUUAUUAAUUUAGUGUUUUCUUCAAUACAAUUCUAGUAUAUUUGUUUGCAUGGUUAAAUCACAUGUGAUGGUAAAUCAAAAGUAUACAUUAGUAUUGUUGAAUCAUGUGCAUAGUAAACAAGAAGUUUACUAGUCCAAAUAUGAUCAUUAGUUGGCAUGAUUAGUUAGACCAUCUUGACCAAUAAUGAUGCAACAAGAUAAGAAUUUACAUGAAUAUCUAUUAAAGAACCUGGAGAUUCUUCAUUUAUCAAGUGUUGCUUGUUCUAAUUUUUUUUAUUAAACCUCACUAGCAAAAGUUGAUAUUGAAUCUUUUACAUUUCUGAAAGAAAUAUGGGCUCAUUUAUCCAAGAAGUGAAUAUUUUGAUAUAAUUUUGGUAGAUGCAUUUGCAAGUUAAUUACAUGUGAGUUAUCACUCGCAACUUGUAGUUUAUGAUAUUACUUAUUUAAUGAUUUGUUUAUGAACAAAACUUUCAGAUUAUGCAAUUGGUACAAGUCUGGCUAAUGUUGGUGACUUUAUUACUCAUACUUUCAAUGACUAUUAUAUGCUAGAUUAUUAGUGCGAGUAACUUGCAAAAGCCUAUUGUUUAUACGAAUGAAAUAGUUUAGCAAAAUUAAUGAUUAAAUGCCUUAAGUUAAUAGCUAAACCAUUAUUGUUGAGAAUUUUUUUUGUAUAUAAGGAUAUGAUAUUUUAUAUCAAUCUACACUUGUACGCAUCAUGCCAAUACAUUUUGAUAAAUCCUUUUCAUUACAAUUGGCUUUUUAAUUUUCAAAUACAUCCCAUUUUAGAAUUUUUGAAUGUGUGAUAUAUGUUUAAGUUGCUCCACCACAAUGCACAAAAUGGAUAUUCAAAUAAUGUUUGGAAUAUAUACUAAUUAUGAAUCUCUUAUUAUUAUAUGUUUUGAUCGGAUUGGAGAUUCAAUUAUGAUAUGAUUUGAUGAUUAGGACUUUAAUUUAACAAGUUUUCCCAACAUCAGGGGGAAAAAUGGUAAUAGCUAGAUGAAAUGAUUAAAUAGAAUGAAUUAUCAUUAUCUAGAUCCUCGUAGAAAGUAAUUUGAAUUAGAAAUUCAAAAAGAUAAUUCACUUUAGUACAACUUAACUGCCAAAUGCACCUAUUAACUUGAUGAGAAUAACCAAGUGUUACAUACCAGCUAAUGUUUUGAUUUGAACUGAAGUUCCAGUAGGAAAAGUUACUAGACUAAUUAAAGGUAAUACAUGCCUGAGUCAUGGUUGUUUGAUAGAUGAUAAUUCUUGUAAAAGAAAAGAAUAAAUCUAAAUGAUCAUAUAGUGGAGGUAGGUGCUCUUGAAGAGGCCUAAGACAUAACUAAUUAUUAAAAAUCUCAAAGGGAUUCACGUACUUAAAAAUGAUAAAAAAUGAAAAUAAAGAGAUCUUGAUAAGUUAUGUCAAUACAAGAAAAUAUGGAACCAUGAAAUAGAAAUUUUUUUUACAACGAUUUUGCAUGCAAUAGUAUUAUUGAGAUAAAAAAAGAAAAUGAUAGUUUUGAAUAAAUUUGUCAAGAAAUAUAUAUAUGGAAUAGAUUGAUCAAAAUAGAAAGACGUAACUCAAGUACAAUUAAAUUUGUAAAGGUUUUGGACCCAUAGUCUAUAUAGCUAAAGGCAUAAAGCCAGUAAGGGUACAAAUGAAGUAGUUUUACAAAAACGAAAUAAGAAAUGUGAAGCUUUUCGCUAAGUCCUGGCAUUGAUUAUGAAAAGAUAUAAUCUUAUUUUGUGGUGGAUGCAAUAAUCUUUAAAUAUAUUAUUAAACUGGUAGUUCAUGAAAGAUUUAACAUGCGUCUAAUGUGUAACAACCCGAAAGUCAAUGGUGCUGAAAACUCUAAUUUUGGGACUCCAUUUUCGUAAACUAAAUAUUUACAAAGUUAUUUUAGAAGUGAAUUAAAUUUUGAAUAAGAAAUUUUACUAAAUUAGUGAAUAAUUUAAGUAUAAGGGCUAAAUUGUAAAAGUGGUUAAAUUUAAAAUUGCCAAAGAAGCAGUAAUUAAAAGUAAGGAACAAGGAUCAAGUUAGCAAUUAGACCAUGAUCAUUAAUAAGGGUUGUGGACAGUGGCAAGCUAUAUGAUUUAUGGAAGGGAUAAAAGGGUAAUUUAAUAAAUAAUGGUAAAAUGAAUUAAAUCUUAACAAAUAAACUUAGUGGAUCGAAAGUGUCACACUCGGUUUUCACUUAUGCCCCAAAAUUAAAGGAAAGUUAGGAGUUAUUUGAAUAGAAUGAUAAGAAGGCAAGAUUUACUGGAAAUUUUAGGAAUUUUGUGACUGAUUGGUAAAUAGUUAAGUUUCCAUUCUCGUUCAGUUAAAAGAGAAAUAGCUGGUCCCUUAGUGGGAGACACAAUAAUUAUUGGUGAGUGGUUAAUUGGGGCUUUGAUGACCAUGAGAAAAGGGUUAUAUAUAGGGGAGAAGCCUUACUCAAUAGAUGAAUUCUUCUCAAUUUUGAUUGUAUUUCCUUCUCAUUUGCAUCAUCUUCUUCGGUUGCUUCGAAGAAGGGAGAGUUAAGAAAAACGUUGUGUGGGGUGGUGAUCGUGAGGUCUAAGGUCAAGAAAAAUAAAAUCCAAUAAGUUGGUAAGCUCCUAAUUCCCUCUAUGUCCAUAAUUAGAGGAAAAAGAAGUAAUAAUCCCUAAAAAGCUCCUAUAUAGAAAUUUGAUUCAAGGUUUAAAGUUAGAAUUCUUUUGAUUUAACUGAUAUACGGUUGUCGUGCUUAGUGUCCAAGAUGAUGGAGGCUCUAGCAUUUGGAAAAGCUAAGCUGGCAAGGAUAAAAAAGUUUAGGUGGGUUUCUAUGCUCCAUCUUUGGGUGAUUGAUAACAUUGAACUGCUUGAAUGAUAUGUGUCUAUGUCUGUUCUGUGAUGUCUGAAUCCGUGGUUGCGUAUGAACAUGGUGAAUGAGUAUGUUGUGUAUGCAUAAUGAUGCGUAAGAGUGAGUAUCCUUGCAAGUAUGUAUAUUGUAUGUUAAUUAGUUGUGAGUUGAUAUAUUAAUGGACGACAUACUGUAUGCUAUAGAAAUAAAUACAAUUAAUUACGUGAAAUGCAUAUAUGUUAUAUAAUACAGAGUAAUGAGGGAGAUGCCUUGACGGGGUAGAUGAAGAUAGGAAAAGUUGGCGUAAUAGAGAAACGAACGAAUAGUUAGGGGACCUGAGGGAGUUGGGCGGCAUCGUGGAAUGGUUAUCUACUUGGUCGCCAGAGCGACACCGUGAUGACGAUCUAUCAACUCUAUGGAGCAACACCGUGAUAGUGGUUAUCGAUUGGUCCUUCGAGGUGACACCUCAAAAAAGGUUUACUAAUUCUUCGGAGUCAUAGGUGCAUGGCACCAUAAUGUGUAAGACCAUAGUUGGGCUAUGGUAACAUAUAAAGUCUACUAAGACAGUAAACAUGGGACCAUAGUGUGUAAGAUCAUAGUUGGGCUAUGGCAACAUAUGAAGUCCACCAGGAUAGUAAACAUGAGAUCAUAAUGUGUAAGACCAUAGCAGGGCUAUGGCCACAUAUGAAGUUCGUAAGUACAAAGAACUAGGAAGCCCACCAGGGCAUAAAAUGGGGUAGUCAUCGUAUAACUUUAGUGGCAAGUAGUAAGACUGAAUGAUCAUAGCGUGACUGAGAAGACUAGCAAAUGGGAUAACAAGAGGAUCCACCAAAAUUCGAAGGUAGGUAGAAGUGUCUGAGAAUGCGGGUAAGCUUGUUGAUAAGGGGAUCUGCCAAAUUAUGACGGUAAGAGGAAUUGGUGGAAGCAGUUUUAACGUGGCUGAUGUUAUGAAAAUGAUAUAUUCUUCGAGGUAUCUAAGUAUUCUCCAC